CGUCACGAAAACUAUUCCUAGUCAUAUUCGACGUUUGAUUGUUCGUCUUAUUUAAAUUCUUUUAUGAUUAGUAUUUUUGUUGCUAUUAGAUGAUAAAACAUAAAUAGUACUUUAUGUGUGACUAAUUUUUUAAAAUUUUACAUAUUUUUUUAAAAUAAAAUAAACAGUCAACCGUUAGAUACGGAUACCCAUGGCUACACUUAUU
rfam:Oryza glumipatula chromosome 8, whole genome shotgun sequence.